rnacentral:rRNA from 1 species
UACGUAGGGUGCAAGCGUUAAUCGGAAUUACUGGGCGUAAAGCGUGCGCAGGCGGUUUUGUAAGUCUGCCGUGAAAUCCCCGGGCUCAACCUGGGAAUUGCGAUGGAGACUGCAAGGCUAGAAUCUGGCAGAGGGGGGUAGAAUUCCACGUGUAGCAGUGAAAUGCGUAGAGAUGUGGAGGAACACCGAUGGCGAAGGCAGCCCCCUGGGGCAAGAUUGACGCUCAUGCACGAAAGCGUGGGGAGCAAACAGG